GAGAGAACUUGAUCCGGGUUCUGAUAAGUAUUUGUUUUGUUUUGUCGAGUCGAAUAAUGGCUACCGUUAGUAGUUCUUUAAGGGCUUGAUUACAGAGAGCACAUGGGAUGUACAGAUGUGCGUGGUUGGGAAAGAGAACAUCAUAUUCGUUUUACGUUUACUUUUUGUAUCUGAGCCAAUGGCUGAAGGUAUGAAUGGGCAUUAGAGUUAUUACUGUCUUUGGUGAUGGGAAGUUAUUAUUUUGAUGAACAUUAAGUUUAUUUUGCAAUGAAUGACAUAUACACUCAGAGACAGACACACGUAGUGGGUUAUUAUGUUGCACUUUACUUUAUUUUACAAAAGAGUAUUUGUUUGUAUUACUCAGGUUAUUAACAAUAUUGCAAACCAAGAGGUCGAUUGUAUUUUGAGCUGUUUUGAAGUGAAAGACUAUGACAGUGUAUUUUGACAUGAAUACUAUCCCAAUGUUAUGAUGUUUUGUGAUAUUGUCAAAGCAAGGAUAGUUUGAUAUUUGUGUUUAAAUGGAAUGACUGAAUGUUUAAGACUGUUGGAGUCAAUAAUAAAUCGCUGCCAGCAGAGCAAGGCACAACGUA